rnacentral:rRNA from 1 species
CACGUAGGGGGCAAGCGUUGUCCGGAUUCAUUGGGCGUAAAGAGCUCGUAGGCGGUUCGAUAAGUCGGGUGUGAAACCUCCAGGCUCAACCUGGAGACGCCACCCGAUACUGUCGUGACUAGAGUCCAGUAGGGGAGCGUGGAAUUCCUGGUGUAGCGGUGAAAGUGCGCAGAGUAUCAGGAGGAACACCGGUGGCGAAGGCGGAUCUCUGGGCCUUACCUGACGCUGAGGCGCGAAAGCUAGGGGAGCAAACAGG